GCUGGCGGAAUGCUUUACACAUGCAAGUCGAACGGCAGCACGGACUUCGGUCUGGUGGCGAGUGGCGAACGGGUGAGUAACAUAUCGGAACGUAUCCAAUAAUGGGGGAUAACUAAUCGAAAGGUUGGCUAAUACCGCAUACGCCCUACGGGGGAAAGCUAGGGACCUUCGGGCCUGGCGUUAAUGGAGCGGCUGAUAUCUGAUUAGCUAGUAGGUGAGGUAAAGGCUCACCUAGGCGACGAUCAGUAGCUGGUCUGAGAGGACGACCAGCCACACUGGAACUGAGACACGGUCCAGACUCCUACGGGAGGCAGCAGUGGGGAAUUUUGGACAAUGGGCGAAAGCCUGAUCCAGCCAUUCCGCGUGAGUGAAGAAGGCCUUCGGGUUGUAAAGCUCUUUCGCAAGGGAAGAAAACUUAGGCGCUAAUAUCGCUUGAGGUUGACGGUACCUUGAUAAGAAGCACCGGCUAACUACGUGCCAGCAGCCGCGGUAAUACGUAGGGUGCGAGCGUUAAUCGGAAUUACUGGGCGUAAAGCGUGCGCAGGCGGUUUUGUAAGUCAGAUGUGAAAUCCCCGAGCUCAACUUGGGAACUGCGUUUGAAACUAUAAGACUAGAAUAUGUCAGAGGGGGGUAGAAUUCCACGUGUAGCAGUGAAAUGCGUAGAGAUGUGGAGGAAUACCAAUGGCGAAGGCAGCCCCCUGGGAUAAUAUUGACGCUCAUGCACGAAAGCGUGGGGAGCAAACAGGAUUAGAUACCCUGGUAGUCCACGCCCUAAACGAUGUCUACUAGUUGUUGGUGGAGUAAAAUCCAUGAGUAACGCAGCUAACGCGUGAAGUUAAACGCCUGGGGAGUCCGGUCGCAAGAUUA
rnacentral:rRNA from 1 species